rnacentral:lncRNA from 1 species
GUUGUUUCUCUUUUGUUUCUUUUUUGAGUCACUGUCCUAUUAUAAACUUUGACCUUUUCGAAAAGCUAAGGAUUGUCUACCAAAGGAAUAGAUUCCUUAACUUUGUAAUGUAUUUAGCCUUUUAACUUUUUUAAUUCGAGCGUCACUGAUGCUUUUUUUGUAUCUACUGAAUUCGUGUCUGGCGUGCAUCAUUUUAAUUCUGGUAUCUUUUUAUAUCUACAUACCUUUUUAUAUAAAUUGGUUAUUUUGAAAGUGUGUACAGGUAUUCAUAAACUUCUGAAUUAAGAAAUUCUUCGGCAAAACUAAGUUUCCCUGUAGAAUGUUUGAAUUGAUUUAAGUAAAAUCAGGAAAUCCUUAAAACUUCAGAUGUUUUAUUGGACCAAAAUAAGUCUCUUCAUAAGAGGUCCCAAUCAAUUGCAUGCCACAGGUUUCACCGCAUACAACAUCUACCAUGAGUAAAGACAGCUUCAAAUACGAGUUGAGAAUAUAAAGGCAUUCAUGUAGGAAACAAAAUAUAAAGAUAUGAUAGAUAAAAUAAAUGCAUCCAGAAUUCCACAUUAUAAAGCAAACUGAGUAGGUUUGUGCAAUUUGCAUAAGUCAUCCGAUU